rnacentral:tRNA from 1 species
GCCGAAGUGGUGGAAUGGUAUACACGUGCGACUCAAAAUCGCAUGCUUCACGGCUUGUGGGUUCAAGUCCCACCUUCGGCACCA